UAGAGUUUGAUCAUGGCUCAGAUUGAACGCUGGCGGCAGGCCUAACACAUGCAAGUCGAGCGGAAACGACACUUACCUUGCUACUUCUGCGUCAAUCGGCGGACGGCUGAGUAAUGCCUGGGAAAUUGCCUUGAUGUGGCGUAUAACCAUUGAAAACCAUGGCUAAUACCGCAUAAUGCCUACUGGCCACAAAGGGGGAUCUUCGGACCUCUCCCGUCCUCAUAUGCCUAGGUGGGAUUAGCUGGUUGGUGAUGUAAUGGCUCACCAUGGCUACCAUCCCUAACUGGCCUGAGAUGAUGAUCAACCACGCUGGAACUGACACACGCUCCAAACUCCUACAGAAUGCAACAGUGGGGAAUAUUGCACAAUGUUCGACAGCCUGAUGCAGCCUUGCCCCGUGUAUGAACAAGGCCUUCGAAUUGCUUAGUACUUUCAAUCACGAUGAAGGGUGUGUAAUUAAUAACUGCUCAUCUUGAUGUUUCCUACCGAAGACGCCCCAGCUAACUCCGUGUCACUCCCCGCCGUCAUACGCAGGGUGCCAGCGUUAGUCAGAAUUACUGGGCGUUACUCGCAUGCAAGUGGUUCAUUAAGUCUCAUGUGAACGCACGGGGCUCACCCUCGCACCCCCUCUUGACUCUGUUGAACUAUAGUGCUGUAGAGGGCUGUAGAAUUUCGAUCACUAUCGCUCACU
rnacentral:rRNA from 1 species